ACGACCAUAGUUCUGCAUGCAGUGUGUGAGUGCCUGUAGAUCACAACUGUUCUUCUAUGACAAUGCUGGGUUUCCUUGUGACCAAGUCGUUUUAGUGGAACGCAUCAAGAAAAGGUGUUUCUUGGGCAAGGGGACACUAUGGAAGCAGCUUUGCCACUGAUGACGCAAUAAAGGAUCUUCAGAAGGAAGUGUGUGUGAGUGUCUGUAGGUCACAAAUGUUCUUCUGUGAUGGUGCUUUAUUUCUUUUUGAUCAACCCGUUUUGGUGAAAUGCAUCAAGGAAAGGUGAUUCUUGGGCAAGUGGACACUAUGGAAGCAGCUUUGCCACUGAUGACCCAAUAAAGGAUAUUCAGAAGGAAGUGUGUGUGAGUGUCUGUAGGUCACAAAUGUUCUUCUGUGAUGGUGCUUUGUUUUGGUGAAAUGCAUCAAGGAAAGGUGAUUCUUGGGCAAGUGGACACUAUGGAAGCAGCUUUGCCACUGAUGACCCAAUAAAGGAUCUUCAGAAGGAAGUGUGUGUGAGUGUCUGUAGAUCACAAAUGUUCUUCUGUGAUGGUGCUUUGUUUCCUUUUGAUCAAGCCGUUUUGGUGAAAUGCAUCGUGGAAAGGUGAUUCUUGGGCAAGGAGACACUAUGGAAGAAGCUAUGCCACUGAUGACACAAUAAAGGAUCUUCAGAAGGAAGUGUGUGUGAGUGUCUGUAGGUCACAAAUGUUCUUCUGUGAUGGUGCUUUGUUUCUUUUUGAUCAACCUGUUUUGGUAUAAUGCAUCAAGGAAAGGUGAUUCUUGGGCAAGUGGACACUAUGGAAGCAGCUUUGCCACUGAUGACCCAAUAAAGGAUCUUCAGAAGGAAGUAUGUGUGAGUGUCUGUAGAUCACAAAUGUUCUUCUGUGAUGGUGCUUUGUUUCCUUUUGAUCAACCCGUUUUGGUGAAAUGCAUCAAGGAAAGGUGAUUCUUGGGCAUAUGGAUACUAUGGAAGCAGCUAUGCCACUGAUGACCCAAUAAAGGAUCUUCAGAUGAAGUGUGUGCGAGUGUCUGUAGGUCACAAAUGUUCUUCUGUGACGGUGCUUUGUUUCCUUUUGAUCAAGCCGUUUUGGUGAAAUACAUCAUCGAAAAGUGAUUCUUGGGCAAGGGGACACUAUGGAAGCAGCUAUGCCACUGAUGAC